CUCUCAAUAGCUCAGUUGGUUUAGAGCGUCCGGCUGUAAUUUGAACUUGAAUAUCUAAUUACUCUGAGAUACUUCUGAUUACCGGAAGGUCACCUGUUCGACUCAGGUUUGGGAGA